GGGACGUUAGCUCAGGGGAAGAGCAUCGGAUUGUCUAUCCGCCGGUCGCCGGUUCAAUCCCGGUACGUCUCGCCA
rnacentral:tRNA from 1 species